rnacentral:rRNA from 1 species
GACGAACGUUGGCGGCGUGCUUAACACAUGCAAGUCGAACGGAAAGGCCCUGCUUUUGUGGGGUGCUCGAGUGGCGAACGGGUGAGUAACACGUGAGUAACCUGCCCUUGACUUUGGGAUAACUUCAGGAAACUGGGGCUAAUACCGGAUAGGAGCUCCUGCUGCAUGGUGGGGGUUGGAAAGUUUCGGCGGUUGGGGAUGGACUCGCGGCUUAUCAGCUUGUUGGUGGGGUAGUGGCUUACCAAGGCUUUGACGGGUAGCCGGCCUGAGAGGGUGACCGGCCACAUUGGGACUGAGAUACGGCCCAGACUCCUACGGGAGGCAGCAGUGGGGAAUAUUGCACAAUGGGCGGAAGCCUGAUGCAGCAACGCCGCGUGCGGGAUGACGGCCUUCGGGUUGUAAACCGCUUUCGCCUGUGACGAAGCGUGAGUGACGGUAAUGGGUAAAGAAGCACCGGCUAACUACGUGCCAGCAGCCGCGGUGAUACGUAGGGUGCGAGCGUUGUCCGGAUUUAUUGGGCGUAAAGGGCUCGUAGGUGGUUGAUCGCGUCGGAAGUGUAAUCUUGGGGCUUAACCCUGAGCGUGCUUUCGAUACGGGUUGACUUGAGGAAGGUAGGGGAGAAUGGAAUUCCUGGUGGAGCGGUGGAAUGCGCAGAUAUCAGGAGGAACACCAGUGGCGAAGGCGGUUCUCUGGGCCUUUCCUGACGCUGAGGAGCGAAAGCGUGGGGAGCGAACAGGCUUAGAUACCCUGGUAGUCCACGCUGUAAACGGUGGGUACUAGGUGUGGGGUCCAUUCCACGGGUUCCGUGCCGUAGCUAACGCUUUAAGUACCCCGCCUGGGGAGUACGGCCGCAAGGCUAAAACUCAAAGGAAUUGACGGGGCCCCGCACAAGCGGCGGAGCAUGCGGAUUAAUUCGAUGCAACGCGUAGAACCUUACCUGGGUUUGACAUGGAUCGGGAGUGCUCAGAGAUGGGUGUGCCUUUUUUGGGGUCGGUUCACAGGUGGUGCAUGGCUGUCGUCAGCUCGUGUCGUGAGAUGUUGGGUUAAGUCCCGCAACGAGCGCAACCCUUGUUCACUGUUGCCAGCACGUUAUGGUGGGGACUCAGUGGAGACCGCCGGGGUCAACUCGGAGGAAGGUGGGGAUGACGUCAAGUCAUCAUGCCCCUUAUGUCCAGGGCUUCACGCAUGCUACAAUGGCUGGUACAGAGAGUGGCGAGCCUGUGAGGGUGAGCGAAUCUCGGAAAGCCGGUCUCAGUUCGGAUUGGGGUCUGCAACUCGACCUCAUGAAGUCGGAGUCGCUAGUAAUCGCAGAUCAGCAACGCUGCGGUGAAUACGUUCCCGGGGC